AAGUCACGUAAUAUUAAUACAUACCUGGGAACUCUUAUUACGGGUAAUCACGUUGAAGAUGAAACAAUCUACACUGCAGAGAUCAAACACAGAAAUAAUCACAACAACGUUAUUUUGUUGUUAGAUCUGGUGCUGCAAGUACCAGAAACUGUUCAUUUUGUAAGUGCCGAGAACAUAAACGGCAGCAAGGCGGUUGUCUGUGAGACUGCAAAUACCUUAGGAUCGUCUCGCAGUACCAUUCGCAUUCGAAUUGCACCAAGAUCCACCGCAAGAUUACGUGUGCUCGUUGGGACGCACUAAACUAUACUAAUUCCAUUAAACAAUUUUAUUUUUCCUUAACGUUCGUAAACAAUAACUUCCACAUUAUUUUAUUUUAUAUACAAAUAGAUAUAAGUAUUCUAAGUAGAAAUUAUAUUGCGCUAGAGGAUGUCGAAAAAUAAACAUAUUACUUAAA